rnacentral:lncRNA from 1 species
AGUCCUUCGCCGUCCCUCGCCGUCCUUCGCCAUCGCACGCCACCGCACCCCAUCUCUCGAAAUCUGCAGACAUCUUGAUUUUUCCCACGCUGUCUGUCAGGUCUCCGCCGCCACUCGACGCCAGGGCGCCGGGUGAGUCCACAGCAGGGCGCAUGGUCGGCUCCACUCUCACCAUCGGGGGAAACUGAGGCCCCGGGGAAGGCGGCCAGAGAGGUCAGGCCCUGUCCUUGGUGCAGUGUCUCGUCCUCUUUGCCGGAGUGAGCCCCCCAGGAUUCGCGUGUCCUCGGGAAAGACACUGGCAGGCCUUGUGGGCUGUGCUGCACCUCGGACGGCUUCGCACCAGCCAGCGCCCUCUCUCUCCUGCAGCACUCUGAUCUGCACCCCCUGAGGGGCUUCCACUGUCCGCGGGGUGAGAAUGCCCCUGGGAGUGUCACAUGACUGCCGCCCCAUGUGUGUGAGAGGCGUCCUCUGGGAGAGCAUGGAUCCUGAGGUCCCAGGAUUGUCAGCUGACCUCUGUCCUGUGUGCCCAGUGGCCCCAGGUGACGUGUCUUCAAGAAGAGGCUGAGCUGCGGUGCUUGUAAGAUGGGUCUGCUGUGUGCAGAGGCUCCAUGGGAUGUGUUGUCUUCAUAGUAGCAGGGCGCUGGACCAUGGGUCCGCAAGGUCUCAGCCUUAGAUCCAAGGACAGUCCAAGGAAGUCCUAAGACCAUGGAGUUGGUGAUCUGGGAUCUGGGUUUGCUGAUAUUUCUCACCGUGAAUCUCUUGGUGGUGUUUGUGGGCACGAGAGGGGCAGAGAAUGGAGAGUGAGGCUACCACAUGAAGCGUCACCAGAGCUGCUCCCUGCUGCCUGCUCAGAGCACCCCGGAUCCACUGUUCAAUCUGCACAAGAUUCGGGGUCCAGACAUGGGAGACUUCAGCUGCCUCAGAGGACCGUGGACAGGGAAGGCCAGCCUCGCAUCCCUCUGUCCAUGCCUGGAAUGACUUUAAUAACCAAGAGUUUUAUUUUUGAAUUUGUAGCUGUCGUUCACUUUUUACCCACCCAUUCAAUAAACCUUACAGAAUUGCUCCA